rfam:Sphingobium chungbukense strain DJ77 contig00022, whole genome shotgun sequence.
GGCAUAUUUUGCCCAGGCGGAGCUCGACCGCCCGUUCAAACGAUGAUCGCCUUUAUCGACGAACAUCGCGAUGCCUAUGGGGUCGAGCCGAUCUGCCGGGUUCUGCCGAUCGCCCCA